rnacentral:sRNA from 1 species
AAUCUUUUAGCUGAAAAAGUAGAGCAGCUGAUGGAAUGGAGUUCCAGACGCUCAAUCUUCCGAAUGAAUGGUGAUAAAUUCCGAAAAUUUAUAAAGGCACCACCUCGAAACUAUUCCAUGAUUGUUAUGUUCACUGCUCUUCAGCCUCAGCGGCAGUGUUCUGUGUGCAGGCAAGCUAAUGAAGAAUAUCAAAUACUGGCGAACUCCUGGCGCUAUUCAUCUGCUUUUUGUAACAAGCUCUUCUUCAGUAUGGUGGACUAUGAUGAGGGGACAGACGUUUUUCAGCAGCUCAACAUGAACUCUGCUCCUACAUUCAUGCAUUUUCCUCCAAAAGGCAGACCUAAGAGAGCUGAUACUUUUGACCUCCAAAGAAUUGGAUUUGCAGCUGAACAACUAGCAAAGUGGAUUGCUGACAGAACAGAUGUUCACAUUCGGGUUUUCAGACCACCCAACUACUCUGGUACCAUUGCUUUGGCCCUGUUAGUGUCGCUUGUUGGAGGUUUGCUUUAUUUGAGAAGGAACAACUUGGAGUUCAUCUAUAACAAGACUGGUUGGGCCAUGGUGUCUCUGUGUAUAGUCUUUGCUAUGACUUCCGGCCAGAUGUGGAACCAUAUCCGUGGACCUCCAUAUGCUCAUAAGAACCCACACAAUGGACAAGUG